rnacentral:rRNA from 1 species
UACGUAGGGGGCGAGCGUUGUCCGGAAUCAUUGGGCGUAAAGCGCGUGUAGGCGGCCCGGAAAGUCUGGUGUGAAAUCUUGAGGCUCAACCUUAAGCUGUCACUGGAUACUGUCGGACUUGAGUCCGGAAGAGGAGAGUGGAAUUCCUGGUGUAGCGGUGGAAUGCGCAGAUAUCAGGAGGAACACCUAUGGCGAAGGCAGCUCUCUGGUACGUGACUGACGCUGAGACGCGAAAGCGUGGGGAGCAAACAGG